rnacentral:rRNA from 1 species
UACGAAGGGGGCUAGCGUUGUUCGGAAUUACUGGGCGUAAAGGGCGCGCAGGCGGCUUGGAUAGUUGGGCGUGAAAGGCCCGGGCUUAACCCGGGAACUGCGCUCAAUACUACUAGGCUUGAGUGUGGGAGAGGAUGGUGGAAUUCCUAGUGUAGAGGUGAAAUUCGUAGAUAUUAGGAAGAACACCGGCGGCGAAGGCGGCCAUCUGGACCACAACUGACGCUGAGGCGCGAAAGCGUGGGGAGCAAACAGG